rnacentral:rRNA from 1 species
UACGUAGGCAGCGCGCGUUGUUCGGAAUUACUGGGCGUAAAGAGUGUGUAGGCGGUGCUCUAAGUUCGGUGUGAAAUCUCCUGGCUCAACUGGGAGGGUGCGCCGGAAACUGGAGUGCUUGAGCGUGGGAGAGGAAAGCGGAAUUCCUGGUGUAGCGGUGAAAUGCGUAGAUAUCAGGAGGAACACCUGUGGUGUAGACGGCUUUCUGGACCAUAGCUGACGCUGAGACACGAAAGCGUGGGUAGCAAACAGG